rnacentral:rRNA from 1 species
GAUGAACGCUGGCGGCGUGCCUAAUACAUGCAAGUCGAGCGAACAGACGAGGAGCUUGCUCCUCUGACGUUAGCGGCGGACGGGUGAGUAACACGUGGAUAACCUACCUAUAAGACUGGGAUAACUUCGGGAAACCGGAGCUAAUACCGGAUAAUAUAUUGAACCGCAUGGGUCAAUAGUGAAAGACGGUUUUGCUGUCACUUAUAGAUGGAUCCGCGCCGCAUUAGCUAGUUGGUAAGGUAACGGCUUACCAAGGCAACGAUGCGUAGCCGACCUGAGAGGGGGAUCGGCCACACUGGAACUGAGACACGGUCCAGACUCCUACGGGAGGCAGCAGUAGGGAAUCUUACGCAAUGGGCGAAAGCCUGACGGAGCAACGCCGCGUGAGUGAUGAAGGUCUUCGGAUCGGAAAACUCUGUUAUUAGGGAAGAACAAAUGUGUAAGUAACUAUGCACGUCUUGACGGUACCUAAUCAGAAAGCCACGGCUAACUACGUG